UUGAACGCUGGCGGCAGGCCUAACACAUGCAAGUCGAGCGGUAGCACAGAGAGCUUGCUCUCGGGUGACGAGCGGCGGACGGGUGAGUAAUGUCUGGGAAACUGCCUGAUGGAGGGGGAUAACUACUGGAAACGGUAGCUAAUACCGCAUAACGUCGCAAGACCAAAGUGGGGGACCUUCGGGCCUCAUGCCAUCAGAUGUGCCCAGAUGGGAUUAGCUAGUAGGUGGGGUAACGGCUCACCUAGGCGACGAUCCCUAGCUGGUCUGAGAGGAUGACCAGCCACACUGGAACUGAGACACGGUCCAGACUCCUACGGGAGGCAGCAGUGGGGAAUAUUGCACAAUGGGCGCAAGCCUGAUGCAGCCAUGCCGCGUGUGUGAAGAAGGCCUUCGGGUUGUAAAGCACUUUCAGCGGGGAGGAAGGCGGUGAGGUUAAUAACCUCAUCGAUUGACGUUACCCGCAGAAGAAGCACCGGCUAACUCCGUGCCAGCAGCCGCGGUAAUACGGAGGGUGCAAGCGUUAAUCGGAAUUACUGGGCGUAAAGCGCACGCAGGCGGUCUGUCAAGUCGGAUGUGAAAUCCCCGGGCUUAACCUGGGAACUGCAUUCGAAACUGGCAGGCUAGAGUCUUGUAGAGGGGGGUAGAAUUCCAGGUGUAGCGGUGAAAUGCGUAGAGAUCUGGAGGAGUACCGGUGGCGAAGGCGGCCCCCUGGACAAAGACUGACGCUCAGGUGCGAAAGCGUGGGGAGCAAACAGGAUUAGAUACCCUGGUAGUCCACGCCGUAAACGAUGUCGAUUUGGAGGUUGUGCCCUUGAGGCGUGGCUUCCGGAGCUAACGCGUUAAAUCGACCGCCUGGGGAGUACGGCCGCAAGGUUAAAACUCAAAUGAAUUGACGGGGGCCCGCACAAGCGGUGGAGCAUGUGGUUUAAUUCGAUGCAACGCGAAGAACCUUACCUGGUCUUGACAUCCACAGAACUUAGCAGAGAUGCUUUGGUGCCUUCGGGAACUGUGAGACAGGUGCUGCAUGGCUGUCGUCAGCUCGUGUUGUGAAAUGUUGGGUUAAGUCCCGCAACGAGCGCAACCCUUAUCCUUUGUUGCCAGCGGUCCGGCCGGGAACUCAAAGGAGACUGCCAGUGAUAAACUGGAGGAAGGUGGGGAUGACGUCAAGUCAUCAUGGCCCUUACGACCAGGGCUACACACGUGCUACAAUGGCAUAUACAAAGAGAAGCGACCUCGCGAGAGCAAGCGGACCUCAUAAAGUAUGUCGUAGUCCGGAUUGGAGUCUGCAACUCGACUCCAUGAAGUCGGAAUCGCUAGUAAUCGUAGAUCAGAAUGCUACGGUGAAUACGUUCCCGGGCCUUGUACACACCGCCCGUCACACCAUGGGAGUGGGUUGCAAAAGAAGUAGGUAGCUUAACCUUCGGGAGGGCGCUUACCACUUUGUGAUUCAUGACUGGGGUG
rnacentral:rRNA from 1 species